GGUGACACCAUGAAAUCUUGUUUCAGCCAGUUCUGCAGGUCCUGACUCUGCAGAGGGAAGAGGCAGAAAGAGAGAAACUGUCAGAGUAUAAUUUCACCUGAGUUUAAUAUUACAGAAACAAAGGGAUGCACCAAAUGGUAUUUCUGGAAAUUUUCAUGUCUUUAAAUACCCCUUGGUAAGUUGCCUCUGAAGCCAGUGGGGGCUCCUCAGAUAGAGAUGUUCCCCUUUCAAAUCCCAGUGCCGCUCUGUUCUCUUUCCUUCCCCUCCCACUCCCCCUCUUCUUCCUCUGUAGAGAUGCAAGAAAUUGCUGUCCCAUAAAAAUCAUAAUUGCAGUAGCUAAAGCUGGGGUCACUUCGUAAAUUCAUCAGAGACUCAAAGAUCUUUUAUUGGCUCUGGGCUGUGCUCAGUGUCUUUGGCCUCAGAGAACAACUUGAAUGACUUCCUGGUUUCCUGGCAUAAAUUAUUCCUGGU
rnacentral:lncRNA from 1 species